UUGCUUUGGCAGCAUAUAUACUAAAAUUGGAAUGAUACAGAGAAGAUUAGCACAGCCCCUGAGCAAGAAUGACACGCAAAUUUGCGAAAUGUUUUAUAUUUUU
ensembl:snRNA U6 U6 spliceosomal RNA